CAAUCAGUACUAGUAUUCCUGUGUGGGCUGUAACACGUUCUUUGCUUCUGUGCUGUCUUGUGUCAGGCAAUACGCCUGUGUUUUUCUAGUAGAAGUCGUAACCGCUCCCGAAGACAGGAUAUUAUACCAUGAAAUUGCAAUAUGGCCAUGUCCACCCCCCCUCUCCUCUUCCUCCUCCUCCUCCUCCUCCUCCUCCUCCGUUGACUUUCCAAUCAUCUCUCCUCACAACAAGGGCCAGGACAAGACAAAAGUGAAACUAAUUGGAUUUCUUUGGGGUUGGUUACGCCAAUAAACGGGGCCGCACCACACCACACCAAUCGCUGCGCUUAGCGGGUGACAUGAAGAACUACUCUCUGUCCAAUAGGUGGUUAGUAGUUGUACGGGAGCAGGAAUAUUACAACCUAUGUGCAAAUAAUGGGUGUAACCCAUAUGGCUAUCUUUGUGUUUGAAGACAUGAUUUUCAUUCUGAAGUAGGAAUUUUCAUAACUAAAUAUUAUAUGCUCAGAGUAGGAGAUUUAGAAAAAAGAU
rnacentral:sRNA from 1 species